rnacentral:tRNA from 1 species
CGCUCCGUAGCCCGACUGGUUGGUGCGGUUGAUUGCAACCAGCAGUUCCUGGGUUCGACUCCUAGUGGAGCCG